GACGAACGCUGGCGGCGUGCUUAACACAUGCAAGUCGAGCGGUAAGGCCCUUUCGGGGGUACGACGAGCGGCGAACGGGUGAGUAACACGUGGGUGACCUGCCCUCAGCUCUGGGAUAAGCCUGGGAAACCGGGUCUAAUACUGGAUAUGACUCCAUGACGCAUGUUGUGGGGUGGAAAGCCUUGUGCGGCUGAGGAUGGGCCCGCGGCCUAUCAGCUUGUUGGUGGGGUGAGGCCUACCAAGGCGACGACGGGUAGCCGGCCUGAGAGGGCGACCGGCCACACUGGGACUGAGACACGGCCCAGACUCCUACGGGAGGCAGCAGUGGGGAAUCUUGCGCAAUGGGCGAAAGCCUGAUGCAGCGACGCCGCGUGAGGGAUGACGGCC
rnacentral:rRNA from 1 species